rnacentral:misc_RNA from 1 species
GAUGAAGAACGCAGCGAAAUGCGAUACGUAGUGUGAAUUGCAGAAUUCAGUGAAUCAUCGAAUCUUUGAACGCACAUUGCACCUCUCGGUAUUCCGGGAGGUAUGCCUGUUCGAGCGUCAUUUGUACCCUCAAGCUCUGCUUGGUGUUGGGUGUUUGUUCCGCCUCUGUGUGUGAACUCGCCUCAAAACAAUUGGCAGCCGGCGUACUUGUUUCGGAGCGCAGCACAUUUUGCGAUCCAGAUCAACGUACAGCGGCAUCCAAGAAGCCUUAUUUAACGCUCUUGACCUCGGAUCAGGUAGGGAUACCCGCUGAACUUAAGCAUACCAAUAAGCGGAGGA